ensembl:lncRNA
GUAUUGUAUAAAACAUAACAUAUUUUAUUCAUACUGUUUUUUUAUUUUUUUUAUUUUAAGGACUGUGAAUUCCUAUAGACCCUCCCCUCCCCCUAAAAAAAGGGAAGACAACUCAGUGCUCAGUUUUGGAAACAGAUGCUUCCUAUGUUCCUCUGUAUGCUUGUACAGCUGUUUCGAGCUAACUAGGUUUUUAGAGGCUCUAAUUUAAGUUAAUUUUGCCUAUCUGGUCAACCCUAGCCCCCCUCCGGAAUUCGGUGGGUAGCCUAGCAGAGAAAACGGCAGGUGAAAAGGCUGCACACCGUGGCAGUCGGUUGGUUUCCACUGGUGAUGAAUAAAUAACGGGACAAAAGCAGCGUCGCGUCUGUCGCACAUAUCACAGCUGCUGUAUCGGCUGCAGACGAGAGGAGAAAGCCAUCCGACAGCAGCAACCAACUCUAUCAUCUCCACUAGAGGGAGGGCUAUCUCACAACAAGGCCACCAAGGAGCUGCAUCUGAGGGUCAGCAUGUGGUGAGUCAGUAGAAGCGAGCCAGCGAGCGCCUGAUCUCCGAGCGAGGCUUGUCAGCGUGGUCCUGAGUGGGCUGUGUGGAGCUUCUGUCAGAGAGUGUCACAUUUCCACGGCCCACACUGUGGCUCCUCUGUCCUCCUCAUGGCUGCAGCUCAAUGGGUCCUUUGAUGGGCCAACCCGAGGCCUUUCAUCAUCCAUCUCGCCACGGGGCACGGGGGCCAUGGGGGGUUGUGCCUCACAACACCUGGCAGAACACGAUGAUGAGGGGCAGCGCUCAGACAUGGGGCAGUCACCAGACUGCGUAAGUACUUCAUCAAGUUGAUUAUAAGAAACUGUGAAUGUUAUGUUAAAAUCUGAUACCACAUUCAGAUCCC